UACGUAGGGUCCGAGCGUUGUCCGGAAUUAUUGGGCGUAAAGGGCUCGUAGGCGGUUCGUCACGUCGGGCGUGAAAACUCGGAGGUUAACUCCGAGCCUGCUUCCGAUACGGGCAGACUAGAGGUAGGCAGGGGAGAGCGGAACUCCUGGUGUAGCGGUGGAAUGCGCAGAUAUCAGGAAGAACACCCGUGGCGAAGGCGGUUCUCUGGGACGGUACUGACGCUGAGACGCGAAAGCGUGGGGAGCGAACAGG
rnacentral:rRNA from 1 species